rnacentral:misc_RNA from 1 species
UUCAACCAGUUGCUGCAAACGCAGUCACCGCAGACGCCAUGCUGACGGGUUAUCUUCGAGGCAUUGAUAGGUUUCUCUAUUUAAGGAAAACAGCAAGUUCAAUUCCUUUAAGGAUUGGAUUAGAAGGAAAUAAACGCAGAUCUAUCUACACAAAUGAAAGGACAUCUAGCCGCCAGCAACACGAAAAACUUAAAACGAGCUAUUUGAGUGGACCACGCCAUAUUCCUUUGCUUAGGUUAACCUUGGGCCAGUUGCUUCAGCAAGCUGCGGAUCGAUUUGGAGACCGGACAGCUGCUGUGUUUGUCCAUCAAAACAUAAGAAAGACAUUUCAUCAAGUGCUGAUUGAAGCCGAUAAAGUAGCCGCUGGACUGCGCUCAUUAGGUUUGAAACGUGGUGAUCGGAUCGGAAUCUGGGGUCCUAAUUCUUAUGAAUGGCUACUGACGCAAUGGGCAGCGGCAAGAGCAGGACUGAUUCUUGUGAACGUGAAUCCAGCAUAUCAAGCUGGAGAACUACGCUACGCGCUAGAAAAAGUUGAAGUUAAAGCUUUGGUAGCGGCCAAAACUUUUCGUAACACGGACCUCAUAGAUAUCUUAAGCAAGCUGGUUCCGCAACUGGAUCGACAAGGUGCCACCGAUAACGUUUCCAAUGGUGAACUCCGCGUUACUAGCGAUGCGGUACCAAGCCUCGAACGAGUGGUUGUGCUAUCAGAUGAACCCCAAAACAGUGGGGCGAUAAUUUGGCAAGAUUUGAUGAACAUGGCGACUCCAGCUCAGGUGGCUGAAGUUCACAAUCUUCAGCGAGAAAUUCAGGUUGAUGAAGCGGCUAACAUCCAAUUCACUUCGGGAACAACAGGAAAUCCUAAAGGAGCAACACUUUCCCAUUACAACAUUGUCAACAAUUCUUAUUUUGUUGGACUGAGAUUAGGCUAUGACAAAAAGCUCCAAACGAUUUGUGUCCCUGUUCCACUGUACCAUUGCGCUGGAUGUGUGGUUGGCGUAUUAACCGCAGCUUCACAUGGAGCAACCUGCGUUUUUCCAAGUUCUGUCUUCAGCGCAAAGGAGGCAAUCAAAGCAAUCCAUCACGAAAGAUGUACAGCCUUGUAUGGCACCCCUACAAUGUUUGUCGACAUCCUCAAUCUGCCUAACUUGAAAGAAUACGAUCUAAAAAGCCUGUCUACGGGUAUUAUGGCUGGAGCACCGUGUCCAGAAGAAAUAGCCAAAGGAACCGUAACUGACUUGAACAUGAAGGAUUUUGCAAUUUUAUACGGAAUGACGGAAUGCAGCCCGACGACAUUCAUGACAUUACCUACGGACAGCUUCGAAUUGCGCUGUUCUACAGUUGGCUACCCUUGCGAACACGUCGAAGUGAAAAUCGUCGAUCCACAAACAAAUGAAAUUCUGCCUAUCAACACCCCAGGAGAAAUCUGUACAAGAGGAUACAACACUAUGUUAGGGUAUUGGAAUCAACCAGACAAAACUAUCGAAGUUAUCAAGGACGGAUGGAUACACUCCGGAUAUUGGAGUACUCGACGAGAACGGCUAUGGUAAAAUUGUUGGAAGGAUUAAGGAUAUGAUUAUACGUGGAGGAGAGAACGUUUAUCCACGCGAAAUUGAGGAGAUCCUUCACACCCACCCUUCCGUCCAAGAGGCACAGGUUAUAGGGGUGCCUGAUGAAAGACUAGG